rnacentral:rRNA from 1 species
CCUACGGGAGGCAGCAGUGGGGAAUAUUGCACAAUGGGGGAAACCCUGAUGCAGCGACGCCGCGUGAGUGAAGAAGUAUUUCGGUACGUAAAGCUCUAUCAGCAGGGAAGAAAAUGACGGUACCUGACUAAGAAGCCCCGGCUAACUACGUGCCAGCAGCCGCGGUAAUACGUAGGGGGCAAGCGUUAUCCGGAUUUACUGGGUGUAAAGGGAGCGUAGACGGCAGCGCAAGUCUGAAGUGAAAUCCCAUGGCUUAACCAUGGAACUGCUUGGGAAACUGUGCAGCUAGAGUGCAGGAGAGGUAAGCGGAAUUCCUAGUGUAGCGGUGAAAUGCGUAGAUAUUAGGAGGAACACCAGUGGCGAAGGCGGCUUACUGGACUGUAACUGACGUUGAGGCUCGAAAGCGUGGGGAGCAAACAGGAUUAGAUACCCUAGUAGUC